AUGCAGCUGACGAGUCCAAAAUAGGACGAAACGCGCAUCCUGGAU
rnacentral:hammerhead_ribozyme from 1 species